GGUGCAAGGCCCACUCUAGCACGUUCAGCUAUGAUGGGGAAAAAAACCAAAACACAGAAACAAAAAUCACUUUCUCAUUUUUAGACAGACCCAACUGAGAGAGCUCCCUGAGAGCUCUGUAAUGAGUUAAGUCUCCGCCCCCCAACCCACCCCAUUCCAAAAAAGCUGUCUCUAUUUUCAUCAGCCUAGAAAAUGAAAUGCUUUUGCUCAUUCCUAGAAAGAAAAUCAUUUCAGAAUCAUAUUCAACUGCCAGAAAGGUAUUCCCAAUGGGUCAUAUAACCAAGAGCAGGGCCUGAAGCCAGUAGAAGACUUCAAGAUAUUGUUGAUAUUAGGGUUCUGGAUUUAGACUUUGAAGAAGACUUCAGAAGUUAUUGAACUCAAGCCCCUGCUUAACAGAUGAGGAAACCGAGGUACAGGGAGAUGUUAGUAACUUGUCUAAGGAAAAAAAAAUCUUUUCAGAGAUGGGAUUUGAACUGGGGUCCUCUGAAGUCAAUCAGGGCUAUUUCUACUGGACCAAGAUUAUGCUUAAAAACAGUACUUUGUUCCUUUCUCAUGUUUCUCACAUAAACGUAAUGCCUGAACCUAUUCCUCUGGGGCCCUUAGUGAGGUGAGAAGCCAGAGCCCCAAAUAGGUGAGGAGAUUCCUACUGAUGAGUUGACUGCCACUCUAGAAAUUCCUUCCAGAACCCUAAAAUUCAAGACAUCCACCUCCAUGCCCUGACUUCCAAGAUUGGGAUUGGGGACAAUCAACUGGCCAAUCCUCCCGAAUGAUUUAAUCAGGUGAAAAAAGCAAGGCUCUGAGAAGUUAGCCUGAUUUGCCCAUGAUCAUGAACAUAAUACAUUUAUGAACCAUUGUUUAAACCCAAGAUUGAGGACCACGUAGCUCCUUGGACUGCUUAUUCUUCAUUCCAGGGAGGCUGGGCUGGGCUAAAGGACCAAGAACCCGAGUGCCCAUCCUGACCCUGACACUUACUGGGCAUAUGGUUCUGGGUAAAUCACUUUGCCUGUAAGGAGUCUUGAUGUACUCAUCUAUAAAGUAGAGACAAAA